CCCUCCCGCCGGAUCUGGCGGAGGGGGGGGGGGGGCGACGUCCUUCCCUCCGCUAGAUCCGGCGGCAGGG
rnacentral:pre_miRNA from 1 species